rnacentral:rRNA from 1 species
UACGAAGGGGGCUAGCGUUGCUCGGAAUCACUAGGCGUAAAGCGCACGUAGGCGGAUUGUUAAGUCAGGGGUGAAAUCCUGGAGCUCAACUCCAGAACUGCCUUUGAUACUGGCGAUCUUGAGUCCGGGAGAGGUGAGUGGAACUGCGAGUGUAGAGGUGAAAUUCGUAGAUAUUCGCAAGAACACCAGUGGCGAAGGCGGCGACCUGGACCGAUACUGACGCUGAGGUGCGAAAGCGUGGGGAGCAAACAGG